rnacentral:tRNA from 1 species
UGGCUCAGUUGGUAGAGCAUGGUGUUUGCAACGCCAGGGUUGUGGGUUUGAUUCCUAU